AGUCGUAAUAAGGUUUCCGUAGGUGAACCUGCGGAAGGAUCAUUAAUAAAUGGCUCGAUUUUUAGAGCAUUAAUAAUCAUCCUACCCUUUGUGAAUUUGUUGUUUGAAAUAAUUUUUUUUUAAAAUUAUUGAUGUCUUUCCCUGUUGAAUUGGUUGGUCGUAAGACUAAGUGAUUCUCAGGGGAUAGUCAAUAAUUUUUAAAAAGACCUUUUUUUAAAUUAAACUUUUUGUAUUCAUUUGUCUAAAAUUAUUUUUAUAAUAUAAAAACAACUUUUGACAAUGGAUCUCUUGGUUCUCGCAACGAUGAAGAACGCAGCAAAAUGCGAUAAGUAGUGUGAAUUGCAGAAUACGUGAAUCAUCGAAUCUUCGAACGCAUAUUGCACUUUUUUAGUUUACUAAAAAAGUAUGUCUGUUUGGGUAUCAGUAAAAUAUUCUCAUAAAAAACAUUGUUUUUUUAUGGUUAUGAGUGUUUUACAACGAUAACAAGUUGUUUCACUUUAAAUUCUCUGUUAUCAAAAAAAUCAUUAAAAGCUAAUUUUAAAGAUUUUUUAAAAUUGGAUAAAAUUUUCCCGUAAAAAGGAAUAACCUAAACAAUUUUAAAAAAUUAAAAUUGGUUUGAUUUUUUUUGAAACCCAAAGGAAAAAAAAACGAAAUUAACUUGAUCUCAAAUCAGAUAAGAGUACCCGCUGAACUUAAGCAUAUCAAUAAGCGGAGGAAAAGAAACUAACUAGGAUUCCCUCAGUAACGGCGAGUGAAGCGGGAAGAGCUCAAAUUUGAAAUCUUCAAGGUUUUACCUUGACGAAUUGUAGUUUAAAGAAGUGUUUUCUGUUGGAGUUUUGGUAAAAGUUCUUUGGAAAAGGACAUCAUAGAGGGUGGGAAUCCCGUAUUUGACCAUUAUUUCCAGCUGUGUGAUACACUUUCAAAGAGUCGGAUUGUUUGGGAAUGCAGUCCAAAAUGGGUGGUAAAUUUCAUCUAAAGCUAAAUAUUGGCGAGAGACCGAUAGCGAACAAGUACCGUGAGGGAAAGAUGAAAAGAACUUUGAAAAGAGAGUUAAACAGUACGUGAAAUUGUCAAAAGGGAAGCGUUUGACACCAGUGUUGUUUUCUCGAAAAUCAAUUAAAAAGAGUUGAUUUUGUUGUGUAUUGACCUUAACAGCUUGCAUUUCAAUUUUCUUGCUUUUUUUAAUGCACUUUUCGUUUAACAAGUCAACAUCAGUUUCUUUUGUUGUAAAAAGGUCAUUGGAAGGUGGCUUUCUUUUCGGAGAAAGUGUUUAUAGCCUUUGGCCUCUGCAAUCGGAGAGACUGAGGUCUGCAGCGUAGAUCCUUCGGGGUUAGAUACAUUUGUGCUAAGUUAUAGCUUUCAUAGACAACUUGUUGACUAUGAUCAGUCUUGUAGCUUACUCGCUUAUGCUAUUUUACCUACGCUUAGGAUGUUGAA
rnacentral:misc_RNA from 1 species